CAAAAUUGUUUGACUAAUCCAGCAAUUUUCAAGUGGUUUAGGUGGAAAUACAGAUUAGAUUCUCCACCUCAGACUGAAGAGCUAUGCUCUCAAGUACAGUUUAUCUCAUUCUCUGAUGUUGAGUACCUGGAAUCAGCCGUUUUCCUGUGGGCAAGGGUUAGGACUAGGCUGCAAAGGUUUGUUUGAGGAUGAGAAAGCACACAGUUAAUUCUUCAACAUUGGCUUGAAGCUAUUCAUCCACACCAUCAGUAUGGACACAAUUUACACAUGAACUACGAUUUAUGAUUUGAAAGUGAGAGCAGCCAGCCUUUCUUCUACUGACGGAUACCCAUCUGAAUUGUGGGAAGGCACUACUGGAAAUGCUAUUAUGUAUUUAUGUCCCCCUGCCAUCAUAUGUUGCAAAAGACUUGGGACAAUGUUCAAAAGCCGUGAUGGGUCCUGCUGGAAUCUGUUUGCUGUGUUUUUGAACAUUUGAUGGAACUAUGGGCUUAUUUGGGAAGAGAAAUGAUUGAAGAAUGUCACUGUGUUAUGUUUGUGUACUGGUAGCUUCUUCUUUUUUUAGGCAAGCGACAUUUUACUGAUCUUUGGCUGUAAUUAAAGAGUUGGUGUAUGAAAAGCUAUUGGAUAGGCAAGAAAUGGAUGACUUGCUGCAGAUGGUACUAGCUUUGGUGUGCAAUUCACACCUUUUUUUUUUUUUUUUAUAAAUGAAAUAUUCUUUUGCGACGGCAAA